rnacentral:sRNA from 1 species
CAAUAUAAAUAGAGAGAGAUAUGCGCUAACAUACCUCUCAAUGUAGAACCGUUAUAAAGACGGUGACUAGAAUUUAAUGAUUUUUUCAAA